rnacentral:misc_RNA from 1 species
CCCAACUAUCCCUAUUAAUCAUUACAUCGAUCCUAGAAACCAACAAAAUAGAAUCAAACGUCCUAUUUCGUUAUUCCAUGCUAAUGUAUUUAAGCGUGAGCCUGCUUUAAACACUCUAAUUUUUUCAAAGUAACAGUCCUGAUUUCCCAAGACACCAAAUUAAUGACAUCAUGGUUCGUCAGAAGAUAGGAAUCAAUAAAACCAGUACGUACGAUAGCACGACCAGUAAAUUAAUCCCGAAAUUCAACUACGAGCUUUUUAACUGCAACAAUUUUAAUAUACGCUAUUGGAGCUGGAAUUACCGCGGCUGCUGGCACCAGACUUGCCCUCCAA